CGGGUGAGUAACGCGUGAGGAACCUGCCUCAAAGAGGGGACAACAGUUGGAAACGACUGCUAAUACCGCAUAAGCCCACGGCUCGGCAUCGAGCAGAGGGAAAAGGAGUGAUCCGCUUUGAGAUGGCCUCGCGUCCGAUUAGCUAGUUGGUGAGGUAACGGCCCACCAAGGCGACGAUCGGUAGCCGGACUGAGAGGUUGAACGGCCACAUUGGGACUGAGACACGGCCCAG
rnacentral:rRNA from 1 species